rnacentral:rRNA from 1 species
AUUGAACGCUGGCGGCAUGCCUUACACAUGCCAGUCGAACGGUAACAGGUCUUCGGAUGCUGACGAGUGGCGAACGGGUGAGUAAUACAUCGGAACGUGCCCGAUCGUGGGGGAUAGCGGAGCGAAAGCUUUGCUAAUACCGCAUACGAUCUACGGAUGAAAGCAGGGGACCGCAAGGCCUUGCGCGGACGGAGCGGCCGAUGGCAGAUUAGGUAGUUGGUGGGAUAAAAGCUUACCAAGCCGACGAUCUGUAGCUGGUCUGAGAGGACGACCAGCCACACUGGGACUGAGACACGGCCCAGACUCCUACGGGAGGCAGCAGUGGGGAAUUUUGGACAAUGGGCGAAAGCCUGAUCCAGCCAUGCCGCGUGCAGGAUGAAGGCCUUCGGGUUGUAAACUGCUUUUGUACGGAACGAAAAGACUCUUUCUAAUAAAGAGGGUCCAUGACGGUACCGUAAGAAUAAGCACCGGCUAACUACGUG